rnacentral:rRNA from 1 species
AUUGAACGCUGGCGGCAGGCCUAACACAUGCAAGUCGAACGAGUGGCGGACGGGUGAGUAAUGUCUGGGAAACUGCCUGAUGGAGGGGGAUAACUACUGGAAACGGUAGCUAAUACCGCAUACCAUCGGAUGUGCCCAGAUGGGAUUAGCUAGUAGGUGGGGUAAAGGCUCACCUAGGCGACGAUCCCUAGCUGGUCUGAGAGGAUGACCAGCAACGCUGGAACAGAGACACGGUCCAGAAUCCGACGGGAGGCAGCAGUGGGGAACAUUGCACAAUGGGCGCAAGCCUGAGGCAGCCAUGCCGCGUGGAUGAAGAAGGCCUUCGUGUUGUAAAGUACUUUCAGCGGAGAGGCGUUACCCGCAGAAGAAGCACCGGCGAACUCCGUGCCAGCAGCCGCGUAAUUC